UUCUACCCAGAAGGACACUGACAGCUAGGGUGCUGUGACAGCCAAGCUUGAGCCCCAUGGCGGGCUUGUUUCCUGCCACACGCCAGUGCCUGUUUUCCCUGAGGGAGAAAAGUCUUCCAUGGUGUCUGAGGUCUUCAGACAGGCCUGGGCUACUGGGAUCUCUCUAGGAGGAGGCAAGGCACCUUUACUAUCCGAGACAAGGGAAAGACCAGAAGGAGAGACAAAGAGACUGAGACAGAGAGACACACAGAGAAAGCAAAAGCAACAUUAGAUCUGGAAAACUCAAUGACAGCAAGGCUCAUCCUGCUUCUCUGCACAGCAGGACCUAUGGUGCUCAUAUUCAGCAACUUGAAAAUCGAUUCUUUUCCUGGGCGGUGGAACUGCAAAGUCUCAAGGCAUUAGAGAUCAAGACGGACACAUCUGCUGCGAAGUAUUGAAGAUGAGAAGACCCAAGACCAGACCCAAAAGAGGCACCAGGGACCCUGGCUUUAAAAACAUCGGUGAGCGCCAAAGCCUAGGCUUAGAGAACAAAUGCAGACUUUUGUGUUGGAAAAUAGCGUCCUUAUUUCCAGCCUGCUAAAGGGACUUUGAGAGUUCUUCACAGCCGUUGAUCAGGCUGAGUGAAGUUUCAUUACUUAUCUGUUUUUCACGGUUGGUUUUUCUAGAAGAUUCGGGGGUCCGGUUGAUUGUCUCUCUUCUGAGGAAUAGUUAUGAAACCAUCGAGGGUAGCUCAGCUCUGUCAUCCAAGCGUGCACCUCUGGGGUUUGACUGUUUGGCUUUCUUUCUUUGUUGCCUACAUCUCCACCAUAAUUCUUGGCCAAUUUGCUGAACUAGAGGCUUUGAAGGUAUGGACUCUCUUACUGGGACGGCAUCAUGAGAAUGAGAAUUAACAAUCUUGAAAGGGACUCGGAGCCCCACUGCAUUUUCUGCAAUGCUGAUUAAUUCACUAGAACUUCAGUGAUUGAAGAGCAAGCCUAGAGCACAUUAUUUUGUGCAUCUCCAAGCAUUCUUAGUAGCCAUUUAUUGCCCUGUACCUGACUUAACACCUUUGUGACCAUUGGGCAAAUCCUUUAGAAUGUGUGAACAGACACCUGGUUUCCAACCCACCAAACAGCUGCCAGAGAGCCUCAAGUUCAACGGCAGAGUUUGCUCUGCUUUGCUGUAACCCGCUCCCCUAUGUUUCCAGCAAAGUUUUUGAAAAGGGUCUUCAUUCAUGUCUUUCAUCGUUCUGUUACUGUUAGUGGACAGGCAAUUCCACUGGUCUGCUCUCAGGGACCUGGCAAUUGCUUACGUCAUCACCUGCCGCCGGCAGGCGCUCCAAGUGUGCUACCGAUAAAGAGGACCCCUCCACCACCACCCCACCCUUUUGUCUGAUUUGAUGUGCCCCUAUUCCCUCCCUCUAUGCCCCCCUUUUCUCUGCCCUCAGGGCUCUCUCUGCUCCAGUCUGUCUGUCUACAUAUCCACUUGUCUGCCUCUAUCUCUUCACCAAGUCCUCAUUUUGCUCCUCUCCCUGAAUAAGCCUACUUUACAUCAGACCUGUUUCAUAGGGUUUUCACGUGUGCACCUUGGUUCAGGCCCACCAAAGAAGGUACCCUUCACCACAUUGUAUUUCAUAAUGGUUACCAUAAAGCCUUCAUUAUUGUUUUUAAUUUAACUUAAUUUUUUUAUCCAACUCGAUGCACCCCUCCUGGUUACCCCCUCCCAUAUCCUUCUACCCUUUCCCUUCUCCUCUGAGCAGGUGGGGGCCCCCUGGGUAUCCCACCCACCCUGGCACUUCAAGGCUAGGCGCUUCCUCUCCUACUGAAGCCAGACAAGACAGCCCAGUUAGAAGAGCAUAUCCCAUGUACAGGCAACAGCUUUUGGGAUAGACCUGGCUCCAUUUUUAAGGAACCACAAGAAGGUCAAGCUACAUAUCCACUACAUAUGAGUGGGGAGGUCUAGGUCCAGCCUAUAUAUGUUCUUUGGUUGGUGGUUCAGACUCUGAACGCCCCAAAGUUCCAGGAUAGUUGACUGUUGGCCUUCCUGUGGAGUUCUUAUUCCUUUGGGGCUGCAAUCCUUCCCUCUAUUCUUCCAUAAGAGUUCUGAAGCUCCAUCCACCGUGGAUUGACAACAUCCACUCUCAGAGGACAACAAGCUCCUGUCAUCAUCUUCAUGUUUCCUAUGUCUACUCACCUGAGGAGCCAUAACUUACUCCCUAAAAAUAAUUCAAUAUUUCCUUUUACAGAACUCAUUCUCACUGCCUUAAACCACCAUCAUUAUUUUGUUACUUUGUAACUAAUACAAACAAGUAUGGCAGGAUUUAUCACAGCCCACAAAGCAACCCCCUUUUCCCUUUUAUGUCAACCCUAACUUAGUGCGAAGGCCCCUUAGUUACUGAGGAAUCUGCUGUCUGUCCUCUGUUGCAGAAUGCACUUGUGUAAAUGGGAGGUAUUAAGGCCGAGAAACUCUGAGUGCAUAGCAAAGCCCCAGAGGGUCCUGGCCCAUAUCUGAGCUCCUGGCUUGGACCUAAGGAGAGAUCCUGGGAGCUAUUGAUCGCCUCAUGCCUGACUACUGCAGGGUCUGGCUAUGGUCUACCUGUUGAAGCAAAAUGUGGUGUGGUGUUUUUGUUUGCUUGUUUUUUGUUUGUUUGUUUGUUUGUUUGGUGGUAAACACCUCCAGUAGACAUCUUCUUUACUGAGGUAGUGGGAAAGAGAUAGGAAAGGAAACAUUAUUACACAUCGUAUAGCUCUCACAUACUCACUUUUUUCAUUUGUGUUCUGUUCAGAAUCAUGCCCCAUGUGCACAAUAGCAUUGCUGUGAUAGAACACACACACAGUAUUUAUGCCACCAUUGAACACAUGUCAGAGUAGGGACUAAAGCAGAAAUGUCCCUGCAUUAAUGGGAAUAUCCCAUUUAACAUCAUGAUAUCCUUACUCUUAUGUUUAAUUUUAUUCAUGUACUAUGUAUGAGGGGUAUUGUGCAUUAGUGUCAUGGAACAUUUGUGGAGGUUAGAAGAUAUCUGGUCAGCUUUAGGUGUCACUUAGCACAGCCUAGAGUCAUCUGAGAGGGGAGUUUCAAUUGAGAGACUACCCAGAUAAGAAAGGCCUGUGAGCAUGUCUGUGGGGGUUGUCUUGAUUAUUCACUGAUGCAGGAGGGCCUAGCCCACUGUGGGUGGCACCAUUCCCCAGGCAAAUGAUCCUGUGCCAUAUAAGAAAGAUAGCUGAGCAUGGGCCUUAAAGUGAGCCAACAAAUGGCAUCCUCUAAGGUUUCUGCUUCGAGUUUCUAGUUGAAUUCUUGUCUUAACUUCCCCCGAGGAUUGGUCAUUACAUGUAAACUGAAAUAAACCCUUCCUUUUCAUAAGUUGCUGUUGGCCAGAGCAUUUUAUCACAGCAACAGAAUGGAAGCUAGAACAGAGAGAGCAGCAUUGUGGGAUUGGUACCCUUUCUCCAUCAUGUCUUGGGUUUUGGAGUUAGAACUCAGGUCAUCAGGCUUUUAUCCACAGAGCUAUCUCACCAGAGCAAUAUAUUUUAAAUGGAGAUGCAAUUCUGUAAUUUCUAAUUAAGAUAGUAUCAAAGAAGAGACAUAUUGGUUGCUAUAUAUGUAUCUAUUUUUUAAUCUAUUAAUUAUGCAUCUAUCUCUCCCUCUCAUUUUAUGUCUUCCCAUGGUUACUUCAAUUCUGAGUUGCCAGUAAAGAGACCUGUAUAUUUCGAGCCACAGUUUUGAAUCUCUCUGUAGUGGGUUUGGCCUACUGUUGCUUGUGUUCUAAUGUUAAUUUGGGUCCCCAAAACUGCUUACAUGAGUCUCUGCACAUAGCUUCUGGGAACCUGCCUCCAGUUGGUUGUGACUGGUAAAUAAAAAUGCUGGCAGCCAAUAGCUGGGAAGGACAAAGGUGGGGUGGGGUUUAGGACUGGGAGAAAGGAAGGAAGAGAGAGGAAGCGUGAGAUACCUGAUGCCAGAAGAGUUUGGAGAAGAGGAGAGGCUCCAUGCCUGAGGAGAGUACAAGACAGAGAGACAUGGCUGCCAUGUGAAGGAGCCGGGAGAGUACAGCAAAGAUCCUGGCCCAAAUUCCAGACCAGCCUAGAUAGAAUAUAGAGUUUAGUAAUAACUCAGGAUUGUUGGUGGGCAGUGGAUUAACUCCAUGGAGGUUAGGAAGUAGCCCAGCUAUUGCGCUGUUUAACAGCAUAUCAAAAUAUAAAAGCCGAGUGUGUGUGUGUGUGUGUGUGUGAAUGUGUGUGUGUAUGUGUGUGUGUGAAUGUGUGUGUGAAUGUGUGUGUAUGUGUGUGUAUGUGUAUGUGUGUUUGUAUAUGUGUGUGUGUGUGUAAAUGUGUGUGUGUAUGUGUGUGUGUGCGCGCGCGCCUGUGUGUGUGUCCUUCAUUCAGGAACUUAAAACAAUGUGGCAGGUAGCAGCAAAAUCUUGCCGACAGGAUUUUAUUAAUAAAUAAUUAUUUCAACACUUCUCAACUUUUGUUCAAGAAUAUUAGUAACUACAUCAAAGGGUGAGAAACAGUGCUGUAGCAUUUUUUAAUUCUCCCAUUGAUUGUACCUUAAAAAUCAAUCUAGAUUCAACUUUCCAUUUUCUAGGUCCCUGAUCAUACUGAAAAAUAUUCUUUCAUGGCUUUACAUCUACUAAUUUUGUUUUUAAGAUUUGUCUUUUCUUUUGUUAAAUGCAUUUAACCUCUGGGCCAUCUCUCUAGCCACAGUUUUCACUAAUUCUUAGCUUUCCAACUUUUAAAAAAAGCUAUAAUAUCUGUGUCAGUUAUAUAAUGUGUAUUCCACUAGUACAAUUUAAAAAUAAUUUUAUAUUGGUAUGAGUUAAUUGGCACUUUAUAUACAGUGCCAAGCUUCGUAGAUGUAUCUUCUUUCAAGUAUAUCAUACACUUUGAUUAUAUUAAAUGCUCUUACCCAUCUCUCCCUCUUUCUGUUUUAUUAAUUUCUUCCCUUUUAUAGAAUUCUACCUUUAAACAGGUAUCAUUAAUAAGUCUAUUCAAUGAUAUUAUAUCAUUCAUUAUGGCUCUUAUAGAGGACCCAAGUUUAGUUCUCACUACCCAAGUUGCCUGCCAUUCAAGCUCCUAGAAAAGAGAGAGAGAGAGAGAGAGAGAGAGAGAGAGAGAGAGAGAGAGAGAGAGAGUUGUGGGUACAUUCAAUGAAGAAAAGAGGCACUGACACAAAAUGAGUGGCACUACUAAGCACUGUGCUACAACAAUGACACCAGUCACAAAGACUACCUACUAUGUCAGCAUGUUAAUGUGAACUCACCAGAACAGGUGUGCCGGUCAUCUUUAAUCAUCAAUUUGGCACAGACAAGAGUCUCUGAAAGUCUUUCUAUCAAAGAAAGCCUCCACAGAUAAAUUGCCUAGAUAAGAUUGGCUUGUAGACAUGUCCUUAGGAGACUGUCUUGAUUGUUAAUAUAUGAGGGCCCAGCCCACUGUGGGCAGCACCAACCCUAGGCUGAUGACCUUGAAUAUUAUUUUGUGUGUGUGUGUGUGUGUGUGUGUGUGUGUUAAUGUCAUGCAUUAGCUUGCCUGUGUGCCAAUAAACAGUGUCCCUCAUGGUUCCUGCUGUGCUCUUAGGCUCUUAGGCUGUUCCUUGGUGAGAGGUAAUGCUGUAUGGAACACCAAUCAUGCUUAUGUUUAUAUUCCUGCCCCCUCAGUGAUGGACUGUGACCUGAGAGAAUGAACCAAAUAGACCUUUCUCUCCUCUAAGUUGUUUUUGGUAGGAUUAAUUUAUUACAGCCACAGAAAGAAAAAUAGAACAGGGAAAUCCAUAAUGACAGAAACCAGGUCUGUGAUUGACAAGGACUAGGGGCUGGGGAGAACCAGGGCACAGUUAGUAAAGAACAGGACUGUGUAGAUCACAGUGGAAGAUUCUGGAACUAUUUCACAGUGAUGGUUACAUGGCAACUGUGUUUUAGCAUUACUUGAUUGGGUUGUCUUCUUGACAGGGUUACAGCUGGCAGUACACUGUGUGGAUCCGAUGAUUUUAAAAAGAAAGGAGAUUAAAUUUAACUUAUUUAUUUACUUGCUUGGUGACUGUUUCAGGUGUGUGUACAGUCCGUAGUGUGGGUGUGGAGGUCAGGAGACAACUCUCAGGAGUUGAUUCUUUCUCUCCACAUUGUGGGAUCUCAGAAUCAGUGGGCCUGUGCCCCUACCCACUGUGUCAUCUCACCAGGCCUGACUUCAGACCUUGGCUGCUGGUUUUGUCUUUUCCCAACAUUCUAGAAUAUCACAGUCCACCGGCAGCGAGCUCUCUGCCCCAGCCCACUGACUGUACUGAGAGAUUUGAUGGUCCACCAUCAGGACCAAAGGCCGGGGGGUGCUGAGAAACCACUGGAUGUGCUUUGAUGGAGGGAUGUGCAGUUUUUCUGCACCCUCCAAGCUGAACAGCAGAAAUCGGAUCUGGGCACUUCUCUCUGUCAAUGAAGGGAAGUAAAUACAAAUUUUGAGCAGGUUUUCAGAAAUUGCUCUGACAGCUUUUCUAUUAUAGUUCAGUGA